UACCAGCACCCCGAGUGGUCGGGACGUUUAUUGGGGCCUAAAGCAUCCGUAGCCGGUUCUACAAGUCUUCCGUUAAAUCCACCUGCUUAACAGAUGGGCUGCGGAAGAUACUAUAGAGCUAGGAGGCGGGAGAGGCAAGCGGUACUCGAUGGGUAGGGGUAAAAUCCGUUGAUCCAUUGAAGACCACCAGUGGCGAAGGCGGCUUGCCAGAACGCGCUCGACGGUGAGGGAUGAAAGCUGGGGGGAGUAACCAGCA
rnacentral:rRNA from 1 species